rnacentral:rRNA from 1 species
UACGUAGGGUCCGAGCGUUGUCCGGAAUUACUGGGCGUAAAGAGCUCGUAGGUGGUUUGUCGCGUUGUUCGUGAAAACUCACAGCUUAACUGUGGGCGUGCGGGCGAUACGGGCAGACUUGAGUACUGCAGGGGAGACUGGAAUUCCUGGUGUAGCGGUGAAAUGCGCAGAUAUCAGGAGGAACACCGGCGGCGAAGGCGGGUCUCUGGGCCAUAACUGACGCUGAGGCGCGAAAGCGUGGGGAGCAAACAGG